UACGUAGGGUGCGAGCGUUAAUCGGAAUUACUGGGCGUAAAGCGUGCGCAGGCGGUUCGUUGUGUCGGCGGUGAAACCUGGGCUCAACCCGGGCCUGCCAGCCGAUACGGGCGGACUAGAAUUCGGUAGGGGAGACUGGAAUUCCUGGUGUAGCGGUGAAAUGCGCAGAUAUCAGGAGGAACACCGGUGGCGAAGGCGGGUCUCCUGGGCCGUAACUGACGCUGAGGAGCGAAAGCGUGGG
rnacentral:rRNA from 1 species